rnacentral:rRNA from 1 species
AUUGAACGCUGGCGGCAUGCUUUACACAUGCAAGUCGAACGGUAACAGGCCGCAAGGUGCUGACGAGUGGCGAACGGGUGAGUAAUGCAUCGGAACGUGCCCAGUCGUGGGGGAUAACGCAGCGAAAGCUGUGCUAAUACCGCAUACGAUCUAUGGAUGAAAGCGGGGGACCGUAAGGCCUCGCGCGAUUGGAGCGGCCGAUGUCAGAUUAGGUAGUUGGUGGGGUAAAGGAUCACCAAGCCAACGAUCUGUAGCGGGUCUGAGAGGACGACCAGCCAAACUGGGACUGAGACACGGCCCAGACUCCUACGGGAGGCAGCAGUGUGGAAUUUUGGACAAUGGGCGCAAGCCUGAUCCAGCAAUGCCGCGUGAAGGAAGAAGGCCUUCGGGUUGUAAACUGCUUUUGUACGGAACGAAAAGGUUUGGGUUAAUACCCUGGGCCGAUGACGGUACCGUAAGAAUAAGCACCGGCUAACUACGUGCCAGCAGCCGCCGUAACAC